UCCAGUUGUCAUUCUACUUGGAGCGCUGUUGGCCUGCUGUGUGGCUGUGAUUGCCGUCCUCAUUUUCUACAUUAAUGGGAGGAGAGUUUUUGAACAUUGCAAUGGAGCAGCAAGAGCUUCUCAUGAUCUUGGACAUGAAAAACCAACUGUGGAACAAUCAAACGACCUGGAUGGUGAAGCAAAGGCAGUGAAAUAUGCAGCGCUGGAUUUCUCCACAAUGAAAGUGAGAAGAGGGAAUGAAAUGAGGAGAGAGAACACAAAGUGUGUUUACUCUGAUGUUAGAUUAGAUUACCACACCCAGCAUCACCCCUCUCUAUAGGCAGAGCAGGACCUUUACACUGCUCCCCAACUUUCUGCAGAGGUCCAUAGCUCAGCUCGCUUUAACUUUACAGUAUAUUAUGUGCACAGACAGCGAUAGGAGGACGUUUAGCAUCAGUCAGAAUGUGUUUUCUGAAAAGUCUCAGACUGCUCUCAAAAGUUGAGAAAGAUUUAGUUCUUGAGGAAAACAAACAAUCUCAACUGCUUUUCAUUUCAAAAUAUAAAUUUCAUGAUGCAUAUUUGUUUAUUUAAAACUAAAGUAAAACAUGUACACAAACAUCAGUUUCAUGGCAUUGAUAGAUAGGCGUCAUAUGAGAUGUUCAAGCCUUAAAAAUGCAGAUCAGAUAAAAGUGGCAAAUAGGAAACUUUUCUCAUGGCUCAUUCAUUUCAAACCAACUCUUUCAAGAUGAAUCUUUUAAAAAGCCAGUUUGGGUGUCAUCACAAGCUUGAGACAGUAAACAAGAUAUAGAAGAUAUGGUAUGCUAAAGACUAUUCUAAAUGUUUAACUAUUAGAUGUUAUUUUUGCAGCAUGAUGAUUCAUUUUCUUUUUUGAAAUAAUGAUAAAAA